AAUGAGGUUCCCGAUGCUUUAUGUUGGCUUCAUCCCAAUUCAUAUGAUGGUCUCCGGGCCAAAAAUGGUGGGUAAUUUUUUACUUUUCUGUGAAUCCCUUUCUCGUGUGACGUCUACUUGUCUUUUUGUCUCGCCUAUGUAUUCCCUAUUGCAACUACAUUUUAUACUGUAAACACAGUUUUUGGAAUCCUGUGUGACAUUUGUUUGGUUUUGUUUAUACUGGACUUUGUCUUUGAAUAUUGUGUGUUUUAAACGCGGUUCUACUGUUAUACUUUCUACCUAAAUGUUCUCCGAUAAUCCCGGCACAUAAGGGAUUGAUAUAACCGCAAAUUUAUCACUGUUCUGUUUUUCUAACUCAGGAAUGAUUCUUCUGGUUCGUUUGCACUUAUUUAUUACUAAUUGAGGGCAUCCAUUGCAUCUAAGGUCCGAUUCAAUUUUCUUAAAUUUCUCUUUUAAUCCAUCCUUAUCUGAGCAUAAGCUCUUUGCUCUAUCAAACAGGUUAAUCGCACAUACAGUAGUGGUUUCAUUGUGGAGCGCUAUGUAUCUCUCCUAAGCGCUUUAUUAUUUAAAACACGUGUAGCUACAAUGCGGUGCUUGAAUACGUGAUUCGAAAAAAUAGAAUCCAUAUACAAAUAGUCUAUACUUUCCAUAGAUAGGAAAUAAUCAGCCUUUAAUUAAUUUAGCGGAAAUAAUGAAAUAUAACUAUUUAUCCUGACAUAUUACUUAAAUUUUAAAUUAACUUCCGCUCGUUUUUAUGCAAUGUUGACAAGUACGUGAAAGGUUUGUCCUAUUGACAGUAUAAUGUAUUAUGGCACAGUUAAAAAAUGCAGGUUUAAUGUUGUAUCGACAAUUACCAGAAAUCAGUGUGGUUAUAGCCUUUGAGCAUAUACCUGUUUCUGAAUCUAGUACCAGAUGGACCUUUUUAACUAUAGUAAGAAUCUUACAGAAUAUUUGUUUUAGGAAAACGUCCAAAGCUAUGAAACAACGAUUAGCUGCAUCGUAUCGGGUUUUUGGUGAACCAUUACUAGUUUACUGGCGUAACUCGUUUCCUCUGUUGAGACAAUAUUGGUUUGUAGAAUGAACUCAUUAGUGAAGCCAAGAAAUGGAGCCACAUUCUGAUCUAUAACUUGUUUUAAUACAUAAAAGAAGUAAUGGAUGUAGUUUCUACGCGAUUCGUUUAUUUGGACCUUCUUAUUUGACCCCUAAUUUCAGAUAACUUCCAGGUGAACUCUCGUUGUUUUCCUGCCUGAUGUGUGGAAAUGCCUACAAGCACCAGAGGAACCUUCUGCGUCAUCGUCAGUACGAGUGCGGAAAGGCGGCUCAGUUCCAGUGUUCCCUGUGUCCGUACCGUUCCAAGCAGAAGGCCACGUUGAAGAGACAUGUAGCCACUGUACAUUACGGUGGAACCAGCCCGCUCUUGGCCAGUGGACAGUCAGCGACCGUUCUGUCCCAGUUGGUGCUGUCUAAUCAUAACAUAGCAGCGUAACUUUAUGUGCUGAUAGAAUUGUAAUUGGUCCGAUUCAGUGCACGUGUGUCCCAACUGCUCGAAGAUGUACAAGUACGGGAAAUCCUUGGCCCUCCAUUGCCGCUACGAAUGUGGAAGGCCAGCUCAGUUCCAGUGUUCCUCCUGUCCAUAUCGUGCAAAACAGAAAGGGAAUUUACGCCGUCACAUGGCACUACGUCACAACGACUCAGUUGUCUCCUCCACGCUCCCUGUCGGUAUCUAAGUGGACAGCAAGUGGAAGUAGCCUAACGGUGAUUGUAAGGAGACAUUUCUGUACUGUCGACAUGUCUGACAAUGUUACAGACGAAGUAUCAGAGUGUUGUCUUACACUAAAUCCUAACAGUACUGUUAACUAGAAAAACUUCUUGAUAAUAAAUAUAUUUAUUGUAUUAGAUAAAUUGAUACAUAAUUUAUUUUCAAAUUAUUAUAAUACAGUUUUAUGGUCUUGAUUUGUUUCCAAAUUAACGACCCGUAUGAGUCUUUAAAAAUGUAAUGUUAACAUUUUAUGUCUAACCAUGGAGUUUGGCCUAUCACUCAGUAGGCUGAUACAAUUUCUCUUUCUUUGUAAGGCGUUGUACAACUUGCCUGCCACAUGAGUAUCUGCAGUUAUAUCUAUGAGUAAUGAAAUGAGCUAUGUACUUGUAAUGUUGAAUUAAAUGUCAGCGAGGCCUAUCACGCGGCUUGUGGUGUGACGUUCUCCUACAUAUGCUAUGUACAUAUAUAUGCUAAUAAACAGAUUUUCUCUA